rnacentral:rRNA from 1 species
AGACGGAGGGUGCUAGCGUUGUUCGGAAUCAUUGGGCGUAAAGGGCGUGUAGGCGGUUCGUUAAGUCAUGCGUGAAAGCCCUCGGCUUAACCGAGGAAGUGCGUAUGAUACUGGCGAGCUAGAGUUCGGAAGAGGGGGGUGGAAUUCCAGGUGUAGCGGUGAAAUGCGUAGAUAUCUGGAGGAACACCGGUGGCGAAGGCGACCCCCUGGUCCGACACUGACGCUGAGACGCGAAAGCGUGGGUAGCAAACAGGAUUAGAUACCCGGGUAGUCC